AGAGUGGGAGGAAGGCAGUGUCCUGUGGCUUCUAUUUCCCUGUCUGCCUGAGCCUGUGGGGAACCUCAUUUACACUUCAAAAUCUGCUUGUCUGUGCUUGUGCUACUGAUCUGCAGACACAAAAAGAUGCUUCUCUGCCAUUCACCCCAUCUUCACUAAGUACAGAUUGGGCUGCACAAAGCCUGGAAGUUUUAUAAAAGACCGAGGAGUGAGAUGGCUCCACAGGACAUUGCACAUGAGUCACCUGUAUCCAUUGCCCUCGUCUUGCCCUCCCCUGUAUGCAGCCUUUGGGUCUCUGUCCUUUUGCUGCUACCAUCAAACACUCCUCUCUUAAUGAUUAAUACAAACAUAACUAGUUUGAGCAGGUACUGAAGGCAGUGAAUGAUGGAUCCUGCAAGCUUUAUCCUGUCACCUAUUAAAGCUAAUGGGAGUGUGUCACAAUUCUUAUGUUAACUCUGCCUCUGACCCCAUCAUGACCUUCUUGAGGGCACAGAACUUAGGUCUCAGGCCUCCAGCUGUCACCUUUCUCCAGGUGGGAUUCUGCAAUCAUCUUCCUCCAGACCAGGGACUUAGGCUUCAAACUCCUGUAAUUCACAGUGAUCACCUCAGCCAAUCUGACUUCAGCUCAGCACCUGCAGUUUUGCUCUUUCAGGGACAAUAACAGGGUUUAUUCAGUGACCAACCAGCUCUCGUGAAGCAAAGUACUAUUUAUUCAGAACAAAAGAAUUUAAGAGAAAACCAAUCAUAAAAACAAUAAUCAGCAUCUUUUGCUUACCAGGUUGUCAUCCAUCUCGCACAUGGAGACUCUGGUAGGGCUGAUGUACUUUGGCCUUCUGUAACAAUGCUGGCUUUGGUGGGACCCAGCUCAGAGUACCAAUCCAGGACAAAUUGCUUAAAGCACGGCAGUUACAGCCCAAGGCUGGGGUUCCUUUGCAUACCAAGGCAAGGCAAACCAAACCAGCCAAACAGAGAAAACUUCGGUUUUACCCCACUGGCUAACCAUAAAUCACACAAGCAAUUUCCUUAGACACUCCAGUUUCCCAGUAUCACAACCAGUGCCACUCAUUAUGGGGACGAAUGGUUAUGAAAACCAAUACCCCAGUAAAAGAAAAAAGGUUCUCUUGAUCCCAAAGGACCAAGCCCCAGACACAGGUCAAUAUAUAAGUUAGAUCUUACCCACAAAUCACGCUGUUACCAAUCCUUUAGAAUCUAAAAUCUAAAGGUUUAUUCAUAAAAUGGAAAAGAUAUAGAUGAGAGCUAGAAUUGGUUAAAUAGAAUCAAUUACAUACAGUAACGGCAAAGUUCUUGGUUCAGGCUUGUAGCAGUGAUGCAAUAAAGUACAGAUUCAAAUUAAGUCUCUGGAGUACAUGCACAGCUGGGAUGGGUCAUUCAGUCCUUUGUUCAGAGCUUCAGUUUGUAGCAACGUUCCUCCAGAAGCGAGAAGCAGUAUUGAAGACAAAAUGGAGGAGAUGCAGCAGCCUUUUAUAUCCUCUGCCCUGUGGACAAUCACAGCAGCAAGAUGGAGCCUGGAGUUACAUGGGCAAGCCACAUGUCCAUGCAUGACUCAGUACUUUACAGGCCAAUGCCAUUGUUUACAUGUUAGUUUGAACGUUCCCAGAAAAGCUCAGAUGUGGAUUGGCGUUUCCCAAAAUUGAUUGUCAGCUAAGUGUUUCUUGAUUGGGCACUUACUGAGAAUAGUCCCUUCUCAAGAAGCUGACCAAAUGCUUCACUGAGGCUGCUUAGAAUCAAAACACAUUGAUAUACAAGUACAUAGCCAAUAUUCAUAACUUCAACUACAAAAAUGAUACACAUAUACAGUUAGCAUAAUCAUAAUCAGCAAAUCAUAACCUUUCCAUAGACACCUUACACGACAACCUUUAUAAAAUAUUUUCUGCAAAUAUAUAACAGAGGUUGCAACAACAAUCUAUGUGGUUACAGGUUAUGUCAGUAACGUCACACUUUCUCACAGGGCCUGCCUCUGUUGGUCACAGACCGUUACCUGACAAAGUCCUCCACAGGGCCAGAUGCUGUGGAGAAUAUUUUGUUAUGACUAGAAGGGGAUUUCCUGCCACUACAUCCAUGGUUGGAUCUUUCCACUUCCAGCCCAGUGCUGGCUGUGAUGUGGGGAGACCCGGAGCCAGUGACACAGAAUAUCAAUGUUGUCUCCAACACGCCUUGUGGAACCUGCCUGUAGUCUUGUACUGUCUGGUGUGUGUGCUCAGCACUGCCCCUGCUGGUUGGAAUGUUAGACUGUGGGUUCCUCUGAUAGCCCACAGGAUAAAAAACAUAUUACUAGUAGCUAUUGGAGAUUCUCCUUAGAGAAGGCAUAGAAGCCUGUGAAUUUUGGGACUGUGGAUCCUGGUUUGUAUCUCUCUUUGUCCCACCAGGUAAAAACAGCCGCAGAAAUCCAAGUGGCAGAGCUCCUCCUUCCUGCUGCACUAAUGUAGUGGUUCUCAGUCUGACUCUGGUCCUGAUAAACCACCUCAGAAAGCAGAAAAUUAUGCUUGGGAGAUUGUGAAGCCUUGGAAUUGGGAGAGGUGUGGAGAGGCUAGGGUGACCAGACAGCAAAUGUGAAAAAUUGGGACGGGGGUGGGGGGUAAUAGGAGCCUAUAGAAGAAAAAGACCCAAAAAUUGGGAUUGUCCCUGUAAAAUCGGAACAUCUGGUCACCUUUGGGGAGGCUGAAGGAGAAGGAGUAAAAUAGGAGACCAGGUAGAGUAUUUAGGUAUGAGAGAUUGGGGGGGCAGAGCAUUGUCGGGGGGGGGGGAGGAGCUGAUUGGUCUGGCAUGUGAUUCAUGGGAUGGACUCCCUCUCACAGAGUGGUCCUUGGAAUGAAAUCAUGUGGGACUAUUGGCAUGCUAUAAGGAAAGGAUUUAGCGGAAAGUGGGAGCUCAUUGUUAAUUCAGUGUGGAAACAUCUCAUGACCUGAAUUCUAGGCAGAGAGAAGAGCAAUAAACCCAAUGGAAGUACUGUCCUGGAUGAUAAACUCCUGCCCUCUGAAAUGGAUGCCAACUCUCUUGAUCUGGUUUUUCGUUCUUCACUCCUCUCCCCUCCACCUGGGAUCACAUGCUUUUCUGCCAAGCUUUUAUGGCAGUUACAGAUUGUGAUGUGAAUAGCUUUGAUGGGAGCAUGGAGUCCAAAAUGGGUUUGUUGAGAGCCCUUCACCUUUGCCCUCUACAGGUGAUGGGACUGAUGAUGAGAGGGUAUCAUCUUGCCCUGACAAUAUCAUGGAUCAAGCCUGCUUCCCUCAUGAAUAAUAGAAUCAUAGAAUAUUAGGAUUGGAAGAGACCUUAGGAGCUUAUCUAGUCCAAUCCCCUCUCAAAGUAGGACCAACACCAACUAAAUCAUCCAUGUGAUGGAAUGUGUUGAGCAGGUCUCUACUGCAUUACCUUGUGUUUCAGUAUCCAGAUGAUUUCACCUCGUCUUCCCAUCCCCUGGGCUCUCAGGGAAAUUCACAAUGUCUGCAACUCAUCCCACUUAUAGAUGCAGUGAGCCUGCAGGUAAUAUUGAUCUGUCCUCUCCACUUUUAGGUCUCCUGCUUUAGAUACACCAAGUUUCCUGCCUAUAGGCUGGGGUCCUGAGUUAUCACCCUGAGGUGCCCCUCCCCCAUGCAGAAAGUCUCAAUUUACAUCUGCUUGCUUAUACAGCCCCAGGUGGAAUCCUGUUUCCAGCCUUCUGACUGUAAUGUGCAGACGCAGGUUGCUUUCACAUAUACCCCCCUCAUUCCUUUUACUUUCUGCAGAGACACAGCUGAGUCUCUGACAAACUGGGCCACGUGAGUGUGCUCUGCCCUGUAAUCCAAUAGGACAUGUGCACUGUGCAUGCUCAGGGCUUGGCCCUGUGCACAGGGAAGGCUUCUGUUUUCAGUCCAGGAGGCUGAUUAGGAGAGACACAGAAAGCAAAGGGGAAACAGUGUUUAGAGAGAGUCCUGUCCUGCUUCAUUUCCUGCAGAAUGUCACUUGUGCUUCACUGUUGCUGAUGUGGUAGAGAUGCACAGAGCAGCCCUGAGCCAUCCCUGUUCCAUCUGCAAUUAAUGCCCAUGUUAGAACAUGCUUCCUGACUCUGGCCAGGCUCGACAGGGCACUUAUCUUGCUUGGAAAAGAGGAACUCAGUAUAUUCACUGCACAGUACCCUCAUCAACAUAACAUUGUGACAGCAUCGAUGAUCCAAGAAAAAGUAACUGGCAGGACAACCCUGGCCUAGCUGCACUGGGCUCUGUUCUGGUGAUUUCUUCAUCACCUUGUAAUGAUUAUGGAGGGACUGAUAAUCUCUUCAUAGUUUAGGUUGCAACCAGGCUUCCUUUAUUAAUCCAAUUUACACCCUUUCACCCUACAGCUUUGAGUAGAAAAAUUCUUUGAGUAUCAAACUUUUUCUGGUAAUGAAAUGUCCUCCUAUAGUGCCAUUUAUGUGAGACUCUCAAAGCACUUUACAAGAAGUAAUGAAUUAGGAAGCCUCUUAACAUCUUUGUGAGGUAGGUAUGAUCUCCAUUUUGCAGGGAGAGAAACUGAGUCAGAGAAAAACUAAAUAACUUGCAUACAAGUCUGUGAGAUAGCCAGAAAUAGAAGAAAGAAGUCCUAACUUCCAGUUCACUUCUAACCAUGAGAGAAUGCUCCUUGUAGGCCUUGAUGUGCCUUGAUGUGAUGAUUCCUCUGUGUGUGUGAAGAUGCCCAAAGCAUCUGAUCUCUGCUGAGCUGCAAACCUCCACUGAACCUGCUGACAGGACUAAGAUGGAUCCUCCUGGACCUGGUAUGUCUAUGCUAUGACAACAUCUGCUCCCUUUCUUCUCAGGAACAUUUACAAUUGCUAUGUUUUCUGUAUGGCUUCCAGAUCCAGGACCCAGUAUAACUGGGCAUGUUGACUCUGAAGAUAGUGUUGGUCACCACUGUUUGCUUUUCAAAGCUGAGUUCAACAAACACACUUCACUAACUGUUAAAGCCUAAAUUCAUGCACUAGUGUGGACACAGAUGAAGGAUGGGAUGAGGAGAGAGAGGUGUCUACUGAGAAAGGGCGGGGGGGUGUGUGUUAAAGAUAGAGAAGUUCAGCAGGAGAGCGAUUCAGGAUAAAGACUAAAUUGAGAGAGUUGCUGUGUCAGUGGAUAGGGGUUGCCUUGCUGCGGGAGACCUUAACAGAUGCUAUAGGAGACAAGCUGUUCUAGAUUCGGGUGUUUCCUCAAAAUGGAGUCACCCAGUGUUAAGGAGGGUGGGGGGUGACAGUGUCCCCUCUCUGUACUGCGUAUUAAGCACAUUGUAAAUAGUUUGUAAAACACUGAGAACUUUGGAUUAAAGACAGUCUAUAAACAUAAAUCUUUAUCUUGGACUGUUAGAGAAUAAACUGGUUAAUUGGGAAAGGUCACCAGGCUGCAUGUCUUCAGUUGUAAUCUGUAUAUUGAUUCCAUCUCAUCAAUAAUACAGAGUGUGCAAGAAGUGACUGAUAUAAAUCCACAUGCUCUGGGGAGUUGAAGAAACUGUGUUUCAGAGUUGCCAUAGCAGGUCCCAGAGCUGUUACCCAUAAGUGAGUGUCAGGGCUUCUACCAGGACUGCAGUUAGAUAUAUUCUAGCUGACACCCAGUGAUCUUCCCCCAAAAUGUCUAAGUCUUUGGAAACAUCUCAGCAUAUCCUUGACCCCAUUGGCCUUCCCUUUCUUAGGCCUGGGUCUACAGUAUGCGGUUAUUUUGGAAUUAGCCGAGUUACUUCGAAAUAAAACUGAUUCUGUCCACAUGACCAAACCAGUUUUUUCGAUUUAAAGGGCUCGGCAAGUGGAGUAACUCUAAAAUCGUGAUCGCAGUUCUGGGUUACAGGUACUGUGGACGCAAUUCGACGAUAUUGGCCACCAGGAGCUAUCCCAGAAUGCUCCCUUGUGACUGCUCUGGACAACACUCUGAACUCCGAUGCACUAGCCAGGUAGGCAGUAAAAGCCCCGGGAACUUUUGAAUUUCCUGUUUGGUCACCAUCAGCACAGGUGACCAUCAACACAGUCCACCAUCACAGGCGACCAUGCAGAGUCCACCAUCACAAGAGACCACGCAGUCCCGGAUUCGCAGACGAGCUCCAGCAUGGUCCGAACGGGAGGUACCGUUGUGGAGAUGAAUCUGUUAUGGCAGAACUAUGUUCCAAAAAAAGAAACGCAAAUACGUACGCUAAAGUCUCCAGGGCCAUGACGGAAAGAGGCUACUCCAGGGACACAGAGCAGUGUCGUAUAAAAAUCAAGGAGCUCAGGCCAGCGUACCAAAAAGCAAGGGAGGUGAACAGGCGCUCUGGGUCACAGCCCAUUCAUGCCGCUUCUACCAUGAGCUGCAUGCAAUUAUGGGGGGUGACACCAUCACUACCCCACCACUGUCCAUGGACACCUGCAAGGUGGGAGUAGCACGGACCGAGGAGGAUGAGCUUUUGGAGGACAAAGAGGAAGAGGAGGAGGACAGCGCCCAGGCGGCAAGUGGGGAAUCUGUUUUCCCCCCUAGCCAGGAACAAUUCUUAACGCUGGAGCCAAUAGCUUUCCCCCACUCCCAAGGCAUGCUCCUGGACCAUGACCCUGGAGAGGGCACUUCUGCCGGUGCAAAUGUUUCAACGUGACCCCUAUCUACUCCAUCCCAGAGGCUGGUCCAGGUUAGAAGGCGGAAAAAACGAACUCGGGACAACAUGUUUGCCGAGCUCAUGCAGACCUCCCACACUGAUAGGGCCCAGUUGAAUGCAUGGCGGCAAACAAUUGCGGAGUCGCGUAAAGCAUUACAUGAAUACGAAGAGAGGAGGGACGUGCGCGAUGAAAACAGGCAGGAUGCAAUGGUCAAGCUGUGCUGCUCGGUUUAUGAUGGCUGAGCAGAAUUGGCAGCCGAAGCGUUCGAUGAGGAAGAGAAAGAGUAGAUAGUAGAGAUUACAUAGGAAGAUGAGAGGAAAUGAGAGGUGGAUUCAUACUAGCAGGAGAGCAGCGAUGCACUGUCUGCUGAAAGCAGAAUGGCGUCUGCACGCCAAAAAGACGCGAAACAAUUGUCCGCUGUAGCUUUCAUGAAGGGAGGAGCUACUGAUGACACGCACCCAGAAACACCCGAGAGAAUGUUUUUGCCCCAUCAUGCACUCGGAGCUUAACCCAGAAUUCCAGUGGGCGGCGGGGACUGCGGGAACUGUGGGAUAGCUCCGACAUUCGAUGCUAGCUUUGGUACUGUGGACGCGCUCCACCGAAUUCACGCACUUUAGUGGGUACACAGAAGACCGAAUGCAUAAAAUAGCUUCCAAAAUUUCGAAUAGAAUAAUUUUGAAAUAAUUUCAUACUGUAGACAUACCUUAUUCUGAAACUUCCUAAAAUGCAAAGUGGGGAUGGAAGCAGGCAGAGUAGGAGUCUGCUUGUGAGGUGGAGCUCUAGCAUCCUCUGUCAUCCUUGACCUUUAAGCCGUUCCACUUCAGAGACAGCCGGCCAGAACACUGGUGCUCAGCAGCCUAAGCCCUCAGCCAGGCCUGCAGGAGCUGACAUAAUGUGCUUCACAUUCCACUGUGUCUGCUCAGGGCCUCAGGAGGAUGGGUCGACGCAAACUGGCUCUGACCUUCCUCUGACUCAAUUCCAUAUCUGCCUGCAUUUAAGGAGAUUAAAAAUGAGUCUUUAUGACAUUAGCCUGGAUGUUGGAAAAGUGAAUAGGGGAAGCUGAAGUCUCUCUUAUCUCACCAACUUCAUUCCAGGGGGGGUCUCAAGGAAAGCUCAUCUCCAAACAGCCCCAACUGGUUCUGAGUGGUGUUACCAGUUGCAUUCAUGGUCUAACCUUUCAUAGCUGACUUCAAGACCUAGAACCUGAUCCCUGGUAUAUAUAUCACUUUUCAUCUUCAAGAGGCUUUAUAGAUAGUACCUAAUUACUCCUCAGGCCAUCCUUGUUUAGGAGGUAAGGGGUUGGAUUGGAUUUGUAUCAGGAAGAGCUGGGUGAAUAAACUGCAAUGAACAAUUUACGUAAUGAAUUUAUACUUGUUCUCUAUCUGCAAUAUCUCAGAAUUAGCAAAUAUAUUAGCUAUUUGAAAUUACUGACAAAUGUUUUCAUUGGAAACAUUCCUGGUCUGAGGGUAGUUUGUGAAUUGUGAAAUACUUUCCAUUCAAAAUUUGCAAUUUAUGCUAUGUGGUCUGUUUCUGUAAGUCGUGUGGUAUUGUUUCUGUUCCCUGACUGGAUGACUUAUGUAACUAAUCAAACCAGUGCAAAAUGUGAUAUUUACAAGCGAAUAUACUAUUAAAAUUAAUUUUUCAUGAGGAUUUGUGGCAGUUAAGUAUUCAUGGGCAGUGAAUGUAAAGGGAUGUGAAUAUGAUUAAAUCAAAAUUAACUUUCAA